GAUCAUUACUGAGUGCGGGCUGCCUCCGGGCGCCCAACCUCCCACCCGUGACUACCUAACACUGUUGCUUCGGCGGGGAGCCCUCUCGGGGGCGAGCCGCCGGGGACUACUGAACUUCAUGCCUGAGAGUGAUGCAGUCUGAGUCUGAAUAUAAAAUCAGUCAAAACUUUCAACAAUGGAUCUCUUGGUUCCGGCAUCGAUGAAGAACGCAGCGAACUGCGAUAAGUAAUGUGAAUUGCAGAAUUCAGUGAAUCAUCGAGUCUUUGAACGCACAUUGCGCCCCCUGGCAUUCCGGGGGGCAUGCCUGUCCGAGCGUCAUUGCUGCCCAUCAAGCCCGGCUUGUGUGUUGGGUCGUCGUCCCCCCCGGGGGACGGGCCCGAAAGGCAGCGGCGGCACCGUGUCCGGUCCUCGAGCGUAUGGGGCUUUGUCACCCGCUCGAUUUAGGGCCGGCCGGGCGCCAGCCGACGUCCAACCAUUUUUCUUCAGGUUGACCUCGGAUCAGGUAGGGAUACCCGCUGAACUUAAGCAUAUCAAUAA
rnacentral:misc_RNA from 1 species